AAAUUUGCGUAUUCAAAUAUGCAAAAGUAACAUAGACAGUUAUGCUAUAUAUUCACUUGAAUGUAAGGAUGUAGCAAGUGUAUACACACUAAAAAUGUGUUCCUUGUUUCUCGCCUAUUUGUUGAUAUCUUGUCCUCUUGACAUUUUACUUCACUUCGUUUCUGGCAUCGAGAGCGUGUGGUUUAUAAAAUCUUUAUUGUUAUGGGCCCAGACACAACUACAGUGAAUAAUGGGAGCACUGCUAAGCAGAUUUUUGCAAAUUUAGAUGCAAUUUACUAGAGAAGAAGCUUGGCAUCACAACUAUCUCUGCGAAAAAAACUUUUAGCCAUGGAGUUAAAAGGAGCAAAAUUAGAUGAUAUGGAUAAAAUUUCCCAUUUACUUCUAACUCUUCCACCCAGUUAUGAUGGUGUUAUAACUGCAAUAGAGACUCUAUCAGAAGAUAACUUGACAUUGGCUUUUGUAAAAACACGACUUCUUGACCAAGAAAUAAAGCUUCGGAAUAUUAGUAAGGAUACGAGUAUUAAAGUCUUGCAAGCAGUAGGUAAAAAGGAGUUCAAAGAUACAAAAUUUAACAAUAAUCCAAUGCAAAAGUUUAAGAAAAAAUUGUUCAAGCCAAGUUUCAAACCGAUACCAAAAUGUUUUCAUUGUGGUAAGCCAGGACAUUUAAAGAAGGAUUGUUUCUUUUUGACUGCCAAAUCAGAAUUCUAACGAAAACAAAAGAAAGGAAGGGCAGGCUCAGAUGGCAACAGCAGCAGCAACCCAACCAGAGCAUAGUUUUGCCUUUAUGUUGAGAAAUGCAACUUCCAAUUCAAAUACAAACGAGGCUGAGUUUAUACUAGACUCAGGAGCAUCAGACCACCUAAUAAAUGACACAGCAUUGUUCUCCAAAUAUGACCAUUUGCAAUCAAAUGUGCCCAUCGAGAUUGCCAAACGCGGAGAGUUUAUCUAAGCUACAGCCAAAGGAGUUGUCAAUAUUACCAGCUGCGGAAACCAAAUCACCUUGCAAAACGUUUUGUAUUGCAAGGAUAUUCCACACAACCUACUAUCGGUAAAGAAAAUGCAGGAUGCAUGACCAUUGAAUUUAAUCCUGGAGGUGUAAAAGUAUCCAAGGAUGGUAAAUUGGUUUUUAAUGGAAUCCGUGAGUUCAAUGUACCUAUUAUAAAAUUUCAAUUAAACAGUAAAGUAUUUAUGUCUAAAAUUUCAAAUUGGGCUGAGUAUCGAUUAUGGCAUGAAAGAUUAGGUCACAUAAGCGUAGGAAAAUUUUUAGAAAUAAAGCGAAAUAGUCUUUUUGAAGAUACUAAUAUUUUAAGCAAUAUUGAUUUAAAUCAUGAAUUAUGCGAGGCUUGUAUAAAUGGCAAGCAAUCUAGAUUAAAGUUUCAAAAAUUUAAAAAUAAGGAAAUUAUUACACGACCUUUGUUUGUUGUCCAUUCCGAUGUUUGUGGCCCAAUAACACCCACUACCAUUGAUAACAAGAACUACUAUGUAGUUUUAUUGAUCAGUAUACACAUUACUGUGUAACCUAUUUAAUAACUUAUAAGUCGGAUGUGUUUUUCUGUUUCAAGGACUUUGUAGCGAAGAGCGAGGCUCACUUAAAUUUAAAAAUUGUGAUUUUGUAUAUCGAUAAUGGAAGGGAAUAUCUUUCUGGUGAAAUGCGUGAUUUCUGUGUUGAAAAAGGCAUCAGCUAUCAUUUAACGGUUCCUCAUACUCCAGAGUUGAAUGGUGUAUCAGAACGGAUGAUACGAACUAUCACCGAAAAGGCUCGAUCUUUGAUCAAUGGUGCUAAACUUAAUAAACAUUUUUGGGGUGAGGCUGUUUUAACAUCAACAUAUUUAAUUAACAGAUCCCCAAGUAGAGCAUUGCAAAAGAUAAAUAAAACACCAUUUGAGAUGUGGCAUAACAAAAAUCCAAUGUUAAAAUAUCUGAAGAUUUUUGGUUCGACGGUAUAUGCAUUGAAUAAAGUAAAAAAAAAGAAAGUUUGACGAAAGGUCAAUUAAAGCUAUACUUGUUGGAUAUGAACCAAAUGGUUAUAAAUUAUGGAAUGAGGAAUCGAGGAAAUUUAUGAUAGCAAGAGAUGUUGUGGUGGAUGAAAUAAACAUGCAAAAAUCAAGAGUUUUAAAUGGAAAAGAUUCGGAUGUUCAAAGUAAUACUGUUGAACAAAAUAAUGAAUCUUUAACUAAAGAGAAUGAAGAGUUGGAUUUUCCUUUGGUGGAAAAUAAUGAAUCUGUUGAUUCUGAGUUAAAUGAGCAACUCAAUGAAAAUUCCACAUUUCUUCAGAAUCCCGAUCCAGUCGUUGAAACUGG